GAUGAACGCUAGCGACAGGCCUAACACAUGCAAGUCGAGGGGCAGCACAAGGUAGCAAUACUGAGGUGGCGACCGGCGCACGGGUGAGUAACGCGUAUGCAACCUGCCUGUAACAGGGGAAUAGCCUCUUGAAAGAGAGAUUAAUGCCGCAUAAUACGAGAUUCGGGCAUCCGGAUUUAGUUAAACAUUUAUGGGUUACAGAUGGGCAUGCGUUUCAUUAGGUAGUUGGUGAGGUAACGGCUCACCAAGCCGACGAUGAAUAGGGGUUCUGAGAGGAAGGUCCCCCACACUGGUACUGAGACACGGGCCAGACUCCUACGGGAGGCAGCAGUGAGGAAUAUUGGUCAAUGGACGCAAGUCUGAACCAGCCAAGUCGCGUGAAGGAUGAAGGUAUUAUGUAUUGUAAACUUCUUUUGUCAGGGAAUAAUGGGUGUCACGUGUGACGCAGAGGAAUGUACCUGACGAAUAAGCAUCGGCUAACUCCGUGCCAGCAGCCGCGGUAAUACGGAGGAUGCGAGCGUUAUCCGGAUUUAUUGGGUUUAAAGGGUGCGUAGGCGGUUUGUUAAGUCAGUGGUGAAAGUUUGCGGCUCAACCGUAAAAUUGCCAUUGAAACUGGCGAACUUGAGUACAGUAGAGGUAGGCGGAAUUCGUGGUGUAGCGGUGAAAUGCUUAGAUAUCACGAAGAANUCCGAUUG
rnacentral:rRNA from 1 species